UACGUAGGGUGCAAGCGUUGUCCGGAAUUAUUGGGCGUAAAGAGCUCGUAGGCGGUCUGUUGCGUCCGCUGUGAAAACUCGGGGCUUAACCCCGAGCCUGCAGUGGAUACGGGCAGACUAGAGGUAGGUAGGGGAGAAUGGAAUUCCCGGUGUAGCGGUGAAAUGCGCAGAUAUCAGGAGGAACACCGGUGGCGAAGGCGGGACUCUGGGCCGAUACUGACGCUGAGGAGCGAAAGCGUGGGGAGCAAACAGG
rnacentral:rRNA from 1 species